GUUCAAAUCUAGCCUGGUCUUCCUUGAUUGUGUAUCCUGAAAAGAACCAGCCUCAAGAGAACAGGCAGCUGAGAUAACUUAUUGAAGAGGUACUCUUAGAUAGAAGUUAAUGUGCUCAGUCCCUAAAAGUGAUCUGAAUGUGUCAGAAAUGGGAGAGGAAGAUGGCAGAUCCCCAAAGCAAGAAGAGGAUCGGAAUGUGGUCAAAGAUGGCAGAGGAAGAUCUUGGGGAGAUUCCUAAGACAAGGAGAGGAUCUGAAGGUUUAUCACUCCAAAUCUUAUAUCCCAGAUCUGAAUUUGAGGGAAAAUGAGGGAGGCUCAGGGGCAAGAUCUUCAAUAUUCCAUCCUAGCACUUAUCCCCCUGAAGAAUAAAAUCUGAGCAACAAUAAUUUAUCUGUCAUAUUCACUGGCUGCCUGCUGGCAAUUAAGACCAUGGGUCCUUGGUAAAGUUAUUGCUA